GUCAGUCUCACGGCUAGUGUCAUAGUUUCAUAGUGUCAUAGUCUCAUAGUGUCAUAGUCUCACGGCUAGUGUCACGGCUAGUGUCACAGCUAGUGUCAUAGUGUCACGACUAGUGUCAUAGUCUCAUAGUGUCAUAGUCUCACGGCUAGUGUCACAGCUAGUGUCAUAGUGUCACGGCUAGUGUCAUAGUCUCAUAGUGUCACAGUCUCACGGCUAGUGUCAAGUCUCACGGCUAGUGUCACAUCUCACGGCUAGUGUCACAGUCUCACGGCUAUGUCAAUAGUCUCACGGCUAGUGUCAUGGUCUCACGGCUAGUGUCACGACUAGUGUCAUAGUCUCACGGCUAGUGUCAAUGGUCUCACGGCUAGUGUAAAUGGUCUCACGGCUAGUUGUCAUGGUCUCACGGCUAGUGUCAUGGUCACACGGCCAGUGUCAUAGUCUCACGGCCAGUGUCAUAGUCUCACGGCCAGUGUCAUAGUCUCACGGCCAGUGUCAUAGUCUCACGGCCAGUGUCAUAGUCUCACGGCCAGUGUCAUAGUCUCACGGCCAGUGUCUUAGUCUCACGGCCAGUGUCAUAGUCUCACGGCCAGUGUCAUAGUCUCACGGCCAGCGUCAUAGUCUCACGGCCAGUGUCAUAGUCUCACGGCCAGUGUCAUAGUCCACAUUCCUAUCAUUUGAGCCAGACUAUUUCCCCCCUCAUGCAGAGCCUGUAGCUAGAAUCCACCCCUCUUUUUCCACCGGUGCCAAGGCACUCUUCUCGCUCCCUAGUAGGCUGGUUCUGUUCUCUGGUCGUCUUGGCAGCCUGCCCUCCCCCCAGGAUUGGUGCUCUCCACUGGGCCGGCCCUUCACUGUGAAGCCUAACAGGACUCGGUCCUGUAGGACCUUGCUACACCACCUCACUGCAGAGCGGGAACACAGAA
ensembl:lncRNA